AGAUGUAUCAACACUUAAAGAAACAUUUGACUGGUCAACUUGAACUAUUGGAUGAGUCAAAUGUUUAUCUACAGAGUAGCAUCAGUGAUUUUGUACAGCAGAUUAAGAUCAGAGCCAAUGGAUGUUUAGGCAACAUUCAGGACUCCAAUAAAGAUGUGAAAGAUGCUAUUGCUAUGGUAAAAACAGCACAAAGUACUUUGCAUGAACUCACAGAUGUUUUUACAGAAUCCACAAAGCUCUACCCUCCCACUGUGAUAACAGGAGAAAAGACAACACCAGAAAGUUUGCAACCAACAGAUAGUGGAUUAAUUUCUAAAGACUUAUUAUCUGGUACAUUUACUUAUACUCCCUAAAUUGUCAAUCACUGAUCAACACAACAAAAGACAAUGAAAAGAAAAGUGUAAACACAAUCAAUAAUU